CGGGGCGUGGCGCAGUUUGGUAGCGUGCUUGACUGGGGGUCAAGAGGCCGCAGGUUCAAGUCCUGUCGCUCCGACCA
rnacentral:tRNA from 1 species